rnacentral:lncRNA from 1 species
CAUUCAUGUGAGGAAUACAAGCUGCCAGCCCUUUAAACAGCAGUCUCUCGCUGUCCUUGCUUGAAGAAACAGUCAAGAGUAGAUUUUACAAAGAGCUGACGGCACAAGUUUUGAAAUAACACUCUAAUCAUAUCCAGAACGACCAAAACAGGGGCAGUAGAGGCUGUGAAUUCUCAGGUCUGCACUAAGGAAGAUAAAAGGUCAGUCCUUGAAACAGGUGCUAUUUGGAUUGAAGAUAUCCACAAAAAAGAAGUGGCUAUCUGUAUCUCCCAUUACUCUUCUGAGAAGUCAUCUUGGGCUGUUGAGUGGUGCUGAGGCCGACUGGCUUCAGCCCUGAAUGAUCUUCAGCUAUAUCAGAGCAUUUAAAUGGAAAUGAAAAUAGACAUUUUCCCUUCAUAAAAAUACUGAGAGGGAAGAUGAACCAAACAGCUAU